rnacentral:rRNA from 1 species
GACGAACGCUGGCGGCGUGCUUAACACAUGCAAGUCGAACGGAAAGGCCCUGCUUUUGUGGGGUGCUCGAGUGGCGAACGGGUGAGUAACACGUGAGUAACCUGCCCUUGACUUUGGGAUAACUUCAGGAAACUGGGGCUAAUACCGGAUAGGAGCUCCUGCUGCAUGGUGGGGGUUGGAAAGUUUCGGCGGUUGGGGAUGGACUCGCGGCUUAUCAGCUUGUUGGUGGGGUAGUGGCUUAUCAAGGCUUUGACGGGUAGCCGGCCUGAGAGGGUGACCGGCCACAUUGGGACUGGGAUACGGCCCAGACUCCUACGGGAGGCAGCAGUGGGGAAUAUUGCACAAUGGGCGGAAGCCUGAUGCAGCAACGCCGCGUGCGGGAUGACGGCCUUCGGGUUGUAAACCGCUUUCGCCUGUGACGAAGCGUGAGUGACGGUAAUGGGUAAAGAAGCACCGGCUAACUACGUG